ACGUUGUCCUUGUGGCAGUGUUUAGACUAGAGCAUCUACUUCUGAUUUUCAGUGUUACACGUGAAGAAUUCGUUGUUUUGUUAUUAUUUACUUAUUAAUUAGGUCUAUUAGUUACUUUUUACUUUAUAUUCUUUAAGAUUUGCGUUACAUCUUCGACUUUUUAACUUCAGUGGCGAUUCGACUAACUUGAGUUGGUCAGUUAUCUUCGCACGGUUGGCGGGGCCAGUGUUGAGGACUCAACAAGACGGAUCCUUGUAAGACUAUUCAAAAAUGAGCUUGCGAGAGAAUUUAGUUGGGAAGGAAGAGGAGGAAAGAAGUGGAGUCUGCAGAACUCUGCAUUGGUGCAGUUGAUUUGCCGUGUAGUUCGUCAACAACAUCCUCAUUCGAUCUCACAACGUUUGAGAAAAAAACCAGCGAAUGGUUACGCCAAGCAGGAACAAGGAUUUAUGUCAAAAAUAAAAAUUUAGGCCUACCGCAGAUGAUCAAUUAAAUCGUU